rnacentral:misc_RNA from 1 species
GUCAUGGUAUUCGCAACAGAUCCUUUUAUGUAUAAGGAUUGCAAGAGUAACUUGCAACGUCCCGUGUUUAACGUCGUUCCUUUAGUCGAACCAUACGCGACCGACGUUGGUGAAACAAAUGAUCCUGGAAGGUGUUGAUGCAAAACCCGAGAGUUAUGGUUAACGGCCCGAGUUUCGCCAUGACGGAUACACAUAAAAAACCCCGAGACACGCAACUAGUCGAUCAUUGCCAGGCUCAAAGAAAAACUGUCUGCAAAACUAUCAUUCUCAAAGUGGUUCGUUGAUAUCAAGAAAACAAAAUAUCAUCGGACACACUCAAACAAACAUUUUUCACAUGAAUCCGUCAACGCCAGCGGAUAGAUCUCGAAAAAAUACGAAACGUCAAAAAAAAAACCACCUCAAUCCGACGCCCGAGUCAAAAGUUAUGAUCCUUUCAAUGUUCCUCGACGUCGUAGACCAAGUUUCCUAGGCCGACGUAAACGUGGCCCGACGAUUCCUAGGCUGACGUGGAACGACCAGGCCUGAUCCGAAGCGACUAAGGUCCCCGACGUCGUAGACCAAGUUUCCUAGGCCGACGUAAACGUGGCCCGACGAUUCCUAGGCCGACGUAGAACGACCAGGCCUGAUCGAAUCGACUAAGUUCCCGACGUCGUAGACCAAGUUUCUUAGGCCGACGUAAACGUGGUCGACGAUUCCUAGGCGACGUAGACGACCAGGCCUGA